UAAAGGAUCUGAAUACCUCUUCCACCACUGCGAUUCAAUAGGCUUUGGGAAGGAAGGUCUUCAUUCUGAGAACCACAAAAUGCUGCACUUAGCACUUGUAAUUCAGGUCCUGUGUAAUUACACAACUGGUAAGAAUUUGGGGUGCACGAAUCCACCAAGAUAAACAUGGGUAACAUGCCAGUUGAGAGGAAAGCCAGCCAUGAGGAGGCCAUACAAUAACUGAAGGUUAGCAACAAAUUAGCUUCAACCACAGCAGGAAAUAACAACUUUCAGGCUGUCAUACGUCAACAUUCCCCACUCUAAUCUGGGCCAAGUGGUCUUUGUUUUACAAAGUGCCGAAGUCCUCCAAUUACAAAACCUCACAGACCUGACGCUCCAUCACAUUUACCCUGACCCUGCAGCUUACAGGUCACACAGCAAAGUACAAAGGGACUGAAAUAAACAUAGUGACCCCUAAAUCUGUCAUGAUAUUUGUCCAUAAACAGCCAGGAGAGGAAAGGCAGGGUUUCCCUCUUGAAUUCCCUCAGAUGUGUGUAAGUGACGAUCUAGUCUGGGGAAAAGUAUGGUAGGAAGUCCCACCUGGCCAGCCAAUAGGGUCACUUUCAGUAUCAAAUUAAUAUACCAAAUCACUUAUCAUAUUCCUUGAGUACCAGUGAAAAUUUCGGCCUGCUGGUGGUGCCAUAUUGUAAGACAAGCUGCAGAAAUUUAAUAACCUGCCACUUCUUAUGGAAUUAACAGCAGAAUAAAGCAUCACCAAGGCAGACAACACAGACAUGUAUAAACUCUAAAAUAAAAACUCCACAGUGGCUGCAGCCACAAACACACAGAGAGCUGCACAGUUUUUGCAUAACGUGUUGAGCACAUACAAACACUAUGUUGUCCAGCAACGUUGACGUUCUGCUCUGGAGAUAAGAGUAACAACCAUCGCAGUGAGUUUGCAGUGCUCACAGAAUGUCAUUCAGACGGGUGAGUACAACAACAAAGUCCUCCACAAUCUGCUCUUGGUUCAACUUCUCAGCUCAUUCUUUCUCUAUGCAUAAUGUGACCAGUCCACUCAGCCUCUCUGUCCCACUACACUCCUCAUAGUUUUCAGACAUUUUCAGAAUCAGAAUCAGAAAUACUUUAUUGAUACCUGAGGGGAAACUCUUUAAAAGCUCUUUGAGCUGAAAGAGCAUUCUGCAGUCACAACUGUGACAGGAAUUGUCAAAACAGCAGAAAUGCCUCACGCACCUCACUCAAGGUAAAAGUUUAUAAGUGAAUGCUGAAGUCACCACUGGAGGAUACAUGAGCAUAUUAGCCAGACCCAGUGUGCACCUGAUGGUCACACAACAUCAUGGGUGUGUGAGGUGCUGAGGUACAAUAACCUAACCUAACCUUAACCCAUAAUGAUGUAAAUCAUUGUUGUACUGUAUCACAAACAGGGCCCAGUGCCACAAGGGGUCUUAAGGGGUUUAGCCCCCUCACUUGUAUUUUUUGCCCCCUCUGUUUAAGCUUUAUUUAUCUAAAGAAAAGUUGCAAAAACAAUCAAAAUUAAAGCUCCAUACAGCAUUGAGCAUCUUGUGACCGGAGGCCAGCUCACACCGCUCUGAUUCUUCAAGACCAUUGCGCACUGCACAAACAAGUUAAAUAUCACUUCCACUAUGUGCCGCUGGAGAACAUGCACUAAUCAUACACAGUGUUGCCGUGUAUCGAGUGUAGAUCACACAAUAAAACUCUUAUCAAGCAUGUGAAAUUUGGAAAAGGUCUGAUGAUGCUGAGCAAAUUUGAAGUCGAUUCGACUAAAUCUCUAGGAGCAGUUCAAUAUCAAAAAAUUGUCACUUCCUGCGUCCCCUAUGUGGCGGUGGAGAACACUCACUAAUCAUACAUGAUGUUCAAACAUGGACAUCCUGAAGGAGAAACUGAAGAGGACAUUCGCUGAGAGAGUCUACUUCAUUCAAAGCCACUCCACAAGUGACAUUCUUCAGGAGUUUCUACCUUUCCAGCAUAUCAGCAUUUUGAUGUGGACAAGAGGUUGCUGGAAGGCUUUAGAAAAGCAGCAGACAAAAUUGUUGCAGAGGCCAGAAGGAGAAGCCUGGGCAAGGAUAUUCUAGUCCGGUACCAGAGGGCACUCAACCAGGAAUGUGAGGAGGCACACAAAGGACUCACAGUUGGUGCUGCAAUACUCCUGCUCCCCUACUGCUCUAUGUAACUGACAAGGUUAGAGCACCACCAGUCAUUCAACGGGUAGGGCUCUUGUAUGCUUUGCCGUAUUUUGUUUUAAGGGAGUUCUGGAGUGUAUUACUCCUUUGGUGUGGGUCAUUUGGAUAGGUGAGUACAGAAAUACAUUAGUCCCACUCCCCAGUCAUGCCUACUGGAAAUUGUAGGAUUUUCUUUUGCUUAUGACAGUCUUCCAAAGAACAAGACUGUCAUAAGCAAAAGAAAAUUAAGCAAAUUAAGCAAAAGAUUAAUAUACAAUAGAAACAGCAUUUCUGCUGCCACUGCAGACAGUUAAAUCACACUGAGACUGCUUGAACACCACAUUGUAAAUGUAAUGUAUUUGUAACUGUAUUUGUUGUGUGCCUUUCAUGGGUGGUGAAGGCUCCAACACCUGUGCUGCUGGUGAGCGGGGAACCCCUUCAGUGUCGGAGGUGAAAUCUCUCUUCACAUAGAUGGAGUUGACAUUGCGAAGCCAGAUGACAUCUUAGUGGGAGUUGGUGUCCUACUGGGGAUCUGUUUCAUCUUUUGGAUCUAGAUAUGCAGAGAAUACAAGGAAGUCUCUAAUUUUUAUGCAACAGUGAAUGGUUGGUGAUUUGGUUAUUUCAAAAACGUAUUUGGCUCUUACAGAAAUUAUAUAAUGUUUAUUGUAUUUAUUCCUGUGUAAUAUUUUGUAUUUAUUGAGUUUCCUAUUUAUUUAUUUUUGCAAAUUAUAAAUGCUCAACUCUCAAAAUCAGUAUGGUUGAACUUUUCAAAAGUCUGAUAUAUGUUAAUAAAACCUUGCU